UACGUAGGGGGCAAGCAUUGUCCGGAAUCAUUGGGCGUAAAGAGCUCGUAGGCGGUUUGUCGCGUCUGCCGUGAAAGUCCGGGGCUCAACUCCGGAUCUGCGGUGGGUACGGGCAGACUAGAGUGAUGUAGGGGAGACUGGAAUUCCUGGUGUAGCGGUGAAAUGCGCAGAUAUCAGGAGGAACACCGAUGGCGAAGGCAGGUCUCUGGGCAUUAACUGACGCUGAGGAGCGAAAGCAUGGGGAGCGAACAGG
rnacentral:rRNA from 1 species